UACGGGGGGGGCAAGCGUUGUUCGGAAUUACUGGGCGUAAAGGGUUCGUAGGUGGUUUGUCGCGUUGUUCGUGAAAACUCACAGCUCAACUGUGGGCGUGCGGGCGAUACGGGCAGACUUGAGUACUGCAGGGGAGACUGGAAUUCCUGGUGUAGCGGUGGAAUGCGCAGAUAUCAGGAGGAACACCGGUGGCGAAGGCGGGUCUCUGGGCAGUAACUGACGCUGAGGAGCGAAAGCGUGGGGAGCGAACAGG
rnacentral:rRNA from 1 species